rnacentral:rRNA from 1 species
GUAUAGCAAUAGCUAGUUGCAUCAUAGUAGAUAUGAUGCAAGAUCGACUAUGUUGAAUAAAAUUCUAGGUAGAAUUAUGAUAAUGACAUUGUCUGCCUAUGUGUCUUGACCAAAUUACGUGCCAGCAGUCGCGGUAAUACGUAGAAGACUAGUGUUAUUCAUGUUUAAUCGGUUUAAAGGGUACCUAGACGGUAGAUCAAGCUUUCUAAUAAAGGAAAAGGACUAGUUUACUAGAGUUACUUAUGAGGGGGUAUUAAAGUACUGCUGGUGUAGAGAUGAAAUUCUGUCAUACCUCUUUUCAAAAGAAAAACCAUGGCACAGGUAUAGGCGAAGGCAUCCCCUUAUGUGAUAACUGACGUUGAGGGACGAAGGCUUUGUGUAGCGAACAGGAUUAGAUACCCCAGUAGUCGAAGCAGAAAAUGAUGAAUGUCAUAGAUUAGAUAUAUAAGUUUAUUCUAUAAAUGAAAGUGUAAGCAUUCCACCUCAUGAGUAAUUUGGCAACAUUGGAACUGAAAUCAUUAGACCGUUUCUGAAACCAGUAGUGAAGUAUGUUGUUUAAUUUGAUGUCCCGCAAAAAACCUUACCACAAUUUGAAUAUUUAUAUUGUUUAUUGUUUUAUUAUUAAUUUUCUUGAAGAAAAUUAAGAAAGAAGCAAUAAGAUAUAUUUACAAGCGUUGCACGGCUGUCUUCAGUUAAUGUCGCGAGACUUUGGUUAGUUCCAUUAAAUUAACGUAAACCCUUACUUUAUUUUUAUAUAGAGUAGUUCCCCGCUAUA